rnacentral:rRNA from 1 species
UUCCGGUUGAUCCUGCCGGACCCGACUGCUAUCAGAGUGGGACUAAGCCAUGCGAGUCAACAUAGCAAUAUGUGGCAUACGGCUCAGUAACACGUAGUCAACAUGCCCAGGGGACGUGGAUAACCUCGGGAAACUGAGGAUAAACCGCGAUAGGUCAUCACUUCUGGAAUGGGUAAUGACUUAAAUCUAUAUGGCCCCUGGAUUGGACUGCGGCCGAUCAGGCUGUUGGUGAGGUAAUGGCCCACCAAACCUGUAACCGGUACGGGCUCUGAGAGGAGGAGCCCGGAGAUGGGCACUGAGACAAGGGCCCAGGCCCUAUGGGGCGCAGCAGGCGCGAAACCUCUGCAAUAGGCGAAAGCCUGACAGGGUUACUCUGAGUGAUUUCCGUUAAGGAGAUCUUUUGGCGCCUCUAAAAAUGGUGCAGAAUAAGGGGUGGGCAAGUCUGGUGUCAGCCGCCGCGGUAAUACCAGCACCCCGAGUGGUCGGGACGUUUAUUGGGCCUAAAGCAUCCGUAGCCGGUUCUACAAGUCUUCCGUUAAAUCCACCUGCUUAACAGAUGGGCUGCGGAAGAUACUAUAGAGCUAGGAGGCGGGAGAGGCAAGCGGUACUCGAUGGGUAGGGGUAAAAUCCGUUGAUCCAUUGAAGACCACCAGUGGCGAAGGCGGCUUGCCAGAACGCGCUCGACGGUGAGGGAUGAAAGCUGGGGGAGCAAACCGGAUUAGAUACCCGGGUAGUCCCAGCUGUAAACGAUGCAGACUCGGUGAUGAGUUGGCUUAUUGCUAACUCAGUGCCGCAGGGAAGCCGUUAAGUUUGCCGCCUGGGGAGUACGGUCGCAAGACUGAAACUUAAAGGAAUUGGCGGGGGAGCA